rnacentral:rRNA from 1 species
AGCAGCCGCGGUAAUUCCAGCUCCAAUAGCGUAUAUUAAAGUUGUUGCAGUUAAAAAGCUCGUAGUUGAAUUUCGGGGUCAGUAGAUUGGUCGUGCCACUGGUAUGCACUGGUCUUACUGGCUCCUCCUUCCUGAUGAACCGUAAUGCCAUUAAUUUGGUGUUGCGGGGAGACUGGACUGUUACUUUGAAAAAAUUAGAGUGUUUAAAGCAGGCUAACGCUUGAAUACAUUAGCAUGGAAUAAUGAAAUAGGACGUUCGACCUUAUUUUGUUGGUUUCUAAGAUUGACGUAAUGAUUAAUAGGGAUAGUUGGGGGCAUUAGUAUUCAAUUGUCAGAGGUGAAAUUCUUGGAUUUAUUGAAGACUAACUACUGCGAAAGCAUUUGCCAAGGAUGUUUCAUUAAUCAAGAACGAAAGUUAGGGGAUCGAAGACGAUCAGAUACCGUCGUAGUCUUAACCAUAAACUAUGCCGACUAGGGAUCGGAUGAUGUUAAUUUUUUAAUGUACUCAUUCGGCGCCUUA